GCUUCGGUGGUGUAGUGGUAGAACAAGCGUCCCCAGAUAGGAUGGAACGCGGGUGCGAUUCCCGCCUGAGACC